CCAAACCGGGGGCUCAAGUGAAGAAAUAUUAUCAUUAGACCUGCCUCCAGGUCUAGCUAAUGUCUUAUUCAGUAUGAAUAGCAGUGGCGUUUGGGCAGGGAGGUGAUGAGAUGCCUAUUAAGCAAAUUUUAGGUUCAUCCUCUUGAGCAGGGGGAAGGAGCCUCUCUCUUCAGAAGCAUGUCAGGAUAUCUUUGGUAGGCAUCAUGUUCUGUUUACUUGAACCAGUGAGAAGAUGGCCGAGCAAGCAAGGACAAGUGUACGUGUCUAUAAAGGUUUCUUCUAAUCCUGCGAGUCUGUAAGCAUUCUAGGGUUCAUCGGAAACUGUCUACUCCCAUUUCUGGAAUUUGCCUUUUGGCAUCAUCAUGCAGGGGGCUUUUUCUAGUCAUGCUUUGUGGUGGAAAGGUCAGCUGAGCACGGAGGAACAGGGGACUCACUGCUUUUCUCCCCCUUGGGCCCUUGAGCAGGCAUUUGACUGCUGCAUAUGAACCUGGGAGCCAUGGGGUCUUAAGGCUUUCUACUUGAUUCUCAGUGUGGCCAGAAUUCUGUUUAGGGCACUGCUCCAAAUCUCG
rnacentral:lncRNA from 1 species